UUACAGCCAUAUCAAGUUGAAACACUGGUUCCUGUAUGAUCACCAAAGUUAAGCAGCAUUGAGCCUGGUUAGUACCUACAUGGGUGACAGUUUAGGAAUACCAGAUGCU